UAGCGGCGGACGGGUGAGUAAUGCUUAGGAAUCUGCCUAUUAGUGGGGGACAACGUUCCGAAAGGAACGCUAAUACCGCAUACGCCCUACGGGGGAAAGCAGGGGAUCUUCGGACCUUGCGCUAAUAGAUGAGCCUAAGUCGGAUUAGCUAGUUGGUGGGGUAAAGGCCUACCAAGGCGACGAUCUGUAGCGGGUCUGAGAGGAUGAUCCGCCACACUGGGACUGAGACACGGCCCAGACUCCUACGGGAGGCAGCAGUGGGGAAUAUUGGACAAUGGGCGCAAGCCUGAUCCAGCCAUGCCGCGUGUGUGAAGAAGGCCUUUUGGUUGUAAAGCACUUUAAGCGAGGAGGAGGCUCCUUUAGUUAAUACCUAAAGUGAGUGGACGUUACUCGCAGAAUAAGCACCGGCUAACUCUGUGCCAGCAGCCGCGGUAAUACAGAGGGUGCGAGCGUUAAUCGGAUUUACUGGGCGUAAAGCGUGCGUAGGCGGCUUUUUAAGUCGGAUGUGAAAUCCCU
rnacentral:rRNA from 1 species